UACGAAGGGUGCAAGCGUUACUCGGAAUUACUGGGCGUAAAGCGUGCGUAGGUGGUGAGUUAAGUCUGAUGUGAAAUCCCCGGGCUCAACCUGGGAAUGGCAUUGGAUACUGGCUCGCUAGAGUGCGGUAGAGGGUGGUGGAAUUCCCGGUGUAGCAGUGAAAUGCGUAGAGAUCGGGAGGAACAUCUGUUGCGAAGGCGGCCACCUGGACCAACACUGACACUGAGGCACGAAAGCGUGGGGAGCAAACAGG
rnacentral:rRNA from 1 species